CCCUUAGAUGUUCUGGGCCGCACGCGUGCUACACUGACACCUGCAACGAGUUAUUCCAGCUCCGAAAGGCAGUUGGUAAUCAGAAAUAGGUGUCGUGAUGGGGAUAGACCCUUGGAAUUAUGGAUCUUGAACGAGGAAUGCCUAGUAAGCGCACGUCAUUAGCGUGCGCUGAUUAAGUCCCUGCCCUUUGUACACACCGCCCGUCGCUCCUACCGAUUUCGAGUGGUCCGGUGAGCCUUUUGGAGAGUGAGCGUCCUUGAGGCGCUUGCUCGAAGUCAGGCAAAUCUUACUACUUAGAGGAAGGAUAAGUCGUAACA
rnacentral:rRNA from 1 species